CCUACGGGAGGCAGCAGUGAGGAAUAUUGGUCAAUGGGCGCUAGCCUGAACCAGCCAAGUAGCGUGAAGGAUGACUGCCCUAUGGGUUGUAAACUUCUUUUAUAUGGGAAUAAAGUGCAGUAUGUAUACUGCUUUGCAUGUACCUUAUGAAUAAGGAUCGGCUAACUCCGUGCCAGCAGCCGCGGUAAUACGGAGGAUCCGAGCGUUAUCCGGAUUUAUUGGGUUUAAAGGGAGCGUAGGCGGGUUGUUAAGUCAGUUGUGAAAGUUUGCGGCUCAACCGUAGAAUUGCAGUUGAUACUGGCAGCCUUGAGUGCAGUAGAGGUAGGCGGAAUUCGUGGUGUAGCGGUGAAAUGCUUAGAUAUCACGCAGAACACCGAUUGCGAAGGCAGCCUGCUGGACUGUAACUGACGCUGAUGCACGAAAGUGUGGGUAUCAAACAGGAUUAGAUACCCGUGUAGUC
rnacentral:rRNA from 1 species